rnacentral:lncRNA from 1 species
GACAGCAGGCACAGUCACCAUGGACAAGCUACCACAUAGACUUCAUACUCUGCGUUCCAGUCCAGGGACUUGAGCAUGACGUGGUCACUGCCGGAUGGGAGCCUGAUUUCCGGUUUCCACUCAGAGGCGAGCUUCUGGGAGCAGUCGGCAGGAAGGACAGAAGACACCAGGGAAGUUAUUCCUUACAUUGAACUUCGAGGUACAUGGACUGGGAAUCCUGGCCGAUGGUGUUGCUGGCAGUGCAGAUGUAUUCUCCAGCAUCUGUGUACUGGAUGCUCUUCAGGGUCAAGGAGGACACACGAGCAUGGCUGCGAACCACCAUGUGCCCAUCCAGAGUCUGCCAGGAGGAAAGGAACAGCAUCAGACACUGAGGUAAAAAGGGCUUGCAAGUGGGAAACAUCUAGAGAACCCAGGAGCAGCAUGGGGGUCGAGGGGCAGAGCGCUCUCUCUCACACUCCCAUCCAUUCCCUAAGCUAUGCGGAUUCAGCACAGGUGCUGACUGGCUGCAUGGAGAUGCAACCACCACUGCUAUUCCAGGGUAAGGACCAAGAAGCUAACACUAUGGCUCCUUUUAUAUAAGGAGCACUUGGGCUCCUUGUGACAUUUGUAGAACAGGAAGAAUAACUGAGCUACCUCAAAGGGCUGUGAUGAGGCUCAGAAAGUCUGAUUUGUGGUUCUGUAGCAUGGCGUAGAAUGCUCCUUCUGUGCUGGCUAUUGUUAUUAUUAUUCUAUGGGGAUAAUGCUUUAAAAGUUUUCCAGAGACAACUGAGGCUAACUUCAUCCCAGGAUCAUCUCCCUAGGACAUGGGUCAUGCUUCAGUCAAAGAAACUACUGGCUAUUCCUUCAAUUAUUCAACUGCUUCUGCUGUCUUAGGUGCUGAAGGCAUAGGUGUAAGCCCAGCGAGCAGAGGCCCGGUCCACAGUUGCUCACAUGCAACACAGUGUCUUUUUCUCAACUCUGCCUAGGGCAAGUACUGCCCAAAACACUUGUCCCGCUGUUCUAUAUUUCAAGCCGUGCAUCAGUUUGGUGACUAACUGAUGUCACACAGGAUAGGAAAUCUUUUCCUAUAAAGCAUCAUCAUGCUGUUGCUAUGGAGUCGUUAUAGGAGGCUGUCAUUUAAAAUGUCAGUAUUGGACAUCUACACAUGCCUGCAAAUCUACUGACGGGAAUCGAUUCCAUGAAAUUUUAUUUUAAACUUGGCGAUGACUGGAUUCACAGUAAACACUCAAAUGGAUAAUGCCGAUUGACAC